rnacentral:rRNA from 1 species
AUGCAGUCGAGCGAACAGAUGGGAGCUUGCUCCCUGAUGUUAGCGGCGGACGGGUGAGUAACACGUGGGUAACCUGCCUGUAAGACUGGGAUAACUCCGGGAAACCGGGGCUAAUACCGGAUGCUUGUUUGAACCGCAUGGUUCAAACAUAAAAGGUGGCUUCGGCUACCACUUACAGAUGGACCCGCGGCGCAUUAGCUAGUUGGUGAGGUAACGGCUCACCAAGGCGACGAUGCGUAGCCGACCUGAGAGGGUGAUCGGCCACACUGGGACUGAGACACGGCCCAGACUCCUACGGGAGGCAGCAGUAGGGAAUCUUCCGCAAUGGACGAAAGUCUGACGGAGCAACGCCGCGUGAGUGAUGAAGGUUUUCGGAUCGUAAAGCUCUGUUGUUAGGGAAGAACAAGUGCCGUUCAAAUAGGGCGGCACCUUGACGGUACCUAACCAGAAAGCCACGGCUAACUACGUGCCAGCAGCCGCGGUAAUACGUAGGUGGCAAGCGUUGUCCGGAAUUAUUGGGCGUAAAGGGCUCGCAGGCGGUUUCUUAAGUCUGAUGUGAAAGCCCCCGGCUCAACCGGGGAGGGUCAUUGGAAACUGGGGAACUUGAGUGCAGAAGAGGAGAGU